UUCUUCCAGAAGGCAAAGCCCAGUUUGCUGACAUUGAACCCAAAUUUGAUAGACUGCUGUUUUUCUGGUCUGACCGUCGCAACCCUCAUGAAGUACAACCAGCAUAUUCUACAAGGUGAAAAAGGUGUGAGGGUUGAACUCAAUAAGCCUUCCGAUUCCAUCAGUAAAGACGUCUUAUAGAGCCUUCAAUCCAGCAAUACCCCACUCCACCUACAAGAAUUGUUGACACUCUUUGUUAACUUGUGAAUAUGAAUAAAGAAAAAUAGACAACCAGUUGGCAUUUUAAUAAGGAAACAGAAACAACUUGGUCGUGUUGCCUCAGAAAGAAGAUUGUGACUGUGACUUUGUACUGCAUGACUUUCCAAACCUGUGAUCUCAUGGGAAGGAUACAAGCUACCGGCUGAAAAUGGGGGUGACACCUGGAUGUGAAAUAAGUGCCCUAGGUAGAAGUUUUUCAUUCUUAUAUUUUGCCAGAUCUGUCAUCUAGAUGAGUUCAUUUCAUCUCUCCCUUUUUUAUAUAGUCAAGUUUGAAUUUGAAGUAAUUUUUGUAUGAUCAGGUACAAUACAUCAAAACUGAAUUGAGAAAAAAGUACAGUAUUACUCCCCCAAAUAGCAUCGAUCUAUUUUUGUAAACUUCUUCGUACUAUUAAAUUUUGCCCUAAAAAAGAAAAAAAAAAAAAAAAAAA